AGCGAACGCUGGCGGCAGGCCUAACACAUGCAAGUCGAGCGCUCGUAGCAAUACGAGAGCGGCAGACGGGAGAGUAACACGUGGGAACGUACCCUUUGGUUCGGAACAACACAGGGAAACUUGUGCUAAUACCGAAUAAGCCCUUACGGGGAAAGGAUUAUCGCCGAAGGAUCGGCCCGCGUCUGAUUAGCUAGUUGGUGGGGUAACGGGCGUCACCAAGGCGACGAUCAGUAGCUGGUCUGAGAGGAUGAUCAGCCACA
rnacentral:rRNA from 1 species